CCUGGUUGAUCCUGCCAGUAGUCAUAUGCUUGUCUCAAAGAUUAAGCCAUGCAUGUCUAAGUACAUACUGUUUAUAAAGUGAAACCGCGAAUGGCUCAUUAAAUCAGUUACGGUUCCUCGGAUAUUCUUUUUUACAUGGAUAACUGUGGUAAUUCUAGAGCUAAUACAUGAACAAGUGUUCCAACCUCAGCUUGCUGACGGAAGGAUCGCAUUUAUUAGUACAAGACCAAUGAUUCUUAUUCACCUAGAACCCUGUUCAGUGAUUUCGGUCGCUGUCUAAGGACUAGCAGUGGGGAUCUUAGCAACUUCGGUUGCAUUUCUUGUGAUGACUCUGAAUAACUGAGCAAAUCGUAUGGCCUCUGAGCCGACGAUGUAUCCCUCAAGCAACUGCCUUAUCAACUGUCGAUGGUAGGUUAUGCGCCUACCAUGGUUGUAACGGGUAACGGGGAAUUAGGGUUCGAUUCCGGAGAGGGAGCCUGAGAAACGGCUACCACAUCUAAGGAAGGCAGCAGGCGCGCAAAUUACACAAUCCCAGUACGGGGAUGUAGUGACGAAAAAUAACAAUACGGGACUCUAUUGAGGCCCCGUAAUUGGAAUGAGUACAAUUUAAAUCCUUUAACGAGGAUCUAUUGGAGGGCAAGUCUGGUGCCAGCAGCCGCGGUAAUUCCAGCUCCAAUAGCGUAUAUUUAAGUUGACGGAGAAUUAGGGUUCGAUUCCGGAGAGGGAGCCUGAGAAACGGCUACCACAUCCAAGGAAGGCAGCCAAGGAAAAAGAAUUUUGGGAAGGAAGAACGGGAGCUUAAAUGGGUGCGUGCACAGAGGACCCUCCAUGGGCUGCAGCCACCUGAAACCAAGAUGUUCAGUGAACGCACAAGUUACUCAGAACUUAAUCAGAUGGCUGAAGAGGCAAAAAGACGUGCUGAGAUUGCUAGACUGAGAGAAGUGCGUA
rnacentral:rRNA from 1 species